CGAACGGGUGAGUAACACGUGGGAAAUCUGCCUAUGAGUGGGGGAUAACAUUCGGAAACGGAUGCUAAUACCGCAUACAUUCCAAAACCGCAUGGUUUCGGAAAGAAAGACGGCUUUGCUGUCGCUUAUAGAUGAUCCCGCGGCGUAUUAGUUAGUUGGUGGGGUAACGGCCUACCAAGACCAUGAUACGUAGCCGACCUGAGAGGGUGAUCGGCCACACUGGGACUGAGACACGGCCCAG
rnacentral:rRNA from 1 species